CUCUCUAAUACUUUUUGAUACAAAAAAAAUGUUCCUGCCGGCCAAGCGCAGCAGCGACGCCCGCUUGUUGGAUCAUCGUGGCUAGCUUUAUCAUCUAUUAUUGCAGAGUGUUUGGGCCGGCUGGCUCGCUUCGAUUUGGGGAAUUUUGGAUAAAGUCUGCUCUAAUUACUUUGGUUUAUAGAUUGCUGCACAUUCUUCUUAAUGGAUAAUUUAAAUCGAAACAAUAGUUAUUAAUUUUUGGCCCGCCAUCCAUAGAAAAAAUUUGUGUACUGUGGAGGUUAACUGAAGAAUUGUUCACCCAAAACAAUUGGACUCAAAGAAGCAGAGGAGAGAUGUGAGAAACUUGAGAGGAAAGUGACAAGGAAUUGACCCAUUGUGGUACAAUCAGGACCUUUGCUGGUGCGAUUGGAUCAUGCGGAGAUAAAUGGAUCUGCUCCAGAAGAGAAAGAGAACAUAGGGAAGAGAGGAGGAGACGUGCGUGAGACGGGGCCUUGUAGUUAUUUCGUUGCAUGUUCCCAAUGUAGUUUUUUUUCCUUUUUUCUUAUUUUUUUGUUAAACUGAUUUGGUUUUAUGCCUGAUUUAUGUAUUGCGUUUCUUCUUAAAUUGACUCAAAUUCUGAUAUUACCUACACCGGGGAACAAUGAUGAAUUCUACGGAGGAUGCUCAUGGAAGGAAAGGCUUUGUUGUCUUAACAAGGAUGGAAAGUAUAACAACAUACACAAACCAACAUGGACAACCCAAAUCUGGACAGAUGGGACCUGGAAGAUACACCACAAACCGAAGAAUAAGUUCUCAAAAGUGCGGAAGAGCGUUGGCGACCAACUCUAAGCUCCACUUACAAGGCAUACAAAACAGAUACAACUAGA